CCGGGGAACCGAUGGCGAAGGCAGGUCUCUGGGCAUUUACUGACGCUGAGGAGCGAAAGCAUGGGGAGCGAACAGGAUUAGAUACCCUGGUAGUCCAUGCCGUAAACGUUGGGCACUAGGUGUGGGGGACAUUCCACGUUUUCCGCGCCGUAGCUAACGCAUUAAGUGCCCCGCCUGGGGAGUACGGCCGCAAGGCUAAAACUCAAAGGAAUUGACGGGGGCCCGCACAAGCGGCGGAGCAUGCGGAUUAAUUCGAUGCAACGCGAAGAACCUUACCAAGGCUUGACAUGUGCCAGACCGCCUCAGAGAUGGGGUUUCCCUUCGGGGCUGGUUCACAGGUGGUGCAUGGUUGUCGUCAGCUCGUGUCGUGAGAUGUUGGGUUAAGUCCCGCAACGAGCGCAACCCUCGUUCCAUGUUGCCAGCACGUAAAGGUGGGGACUCAUGGGAGACUGCCGGGGUCAACUCGGAGGAAGGUGGGGAUGACGUCAAAUCAUCAUGCCCCUUAUGUCUUGGGCUUCACGCAUGCUACAAUGGCCGGUACAAUGGGUUGCGAUACUGUGAGGUGGAGCUAAUCCCUAAAAGCCGGUCUCAGUUCGGAUUGGGGUCUGCAACUCGACCCCAUGAAGUCGGAGUCGCUAGUAAUCGCAGAUCAGCAACGCUGCGGUGAAUACGUUCCCGGGCCUUGUACACACCGCCCGUCAAGUCACGAAAGUUGGUAACACCCGAAGCCGAUGGCCUAACCACCUUGUGUGGGGGGAGUCGUCGAAAGUGGGACUGGCG
rnacentral:rRNA from 1 species